rnacentral:rRNA from 1 species
UACGUAGGGUGCAAGCGUUAAUCGGAAUUACUGGGCGUAAAGCGUGCGCAGGCGGUUGUGCAAGACAGAUGUGAAAUCCCCGGGCUUAACCUGGGAACUGCAUUGUGACUGCACGGCUAGAGUGUGUCAGAGGGGGGUAGAAUUCCACGUGUAGCAGUGAAAUGCGUAGAUAUGUGGAGGAAUACCGAUGGCGAAGGCAGCCCCCUGGGAUAACACUGACGCUCAUGCACGAAAGCGUGGGGAGCAAACAGG